rnacentral:rRNA from 1 species
AUGCCAGAUGCUCGCUGCAAGCAGUACCUCGACUUGACUUGCAGCCCCAAUCAUGCGCCGCGUCCUCCUUCCUGUUCAUGUGUCUCUCCGCCGAUUUGCAUAGGCCUCGUCGCUGCGUCCGUGGCCAUCCUACUCACCCUCUGGUCCCGUCGGCCCCUUUUCGAGCAGUUGCCAGAUGGGGGUGCCGAUCAGAACCCGGUGAUUGCAGAGGAGGUCGACGAGAUCGCCGCCUCCAUCCCAGAGGCUCUGGCGCCGUCCCAAGCCGAGGCCUACCUGUCGGACGGCGGCAGCAGCGACGACCAAGACAAAGCAAGCCGGGUGCUUCAACGGACAGUGGUCUUCAUCAAUGCUGCCAUCGACAGAUCUGGUGAGGUUGCUGGAAUUCUUAACAAUAUGUUGAAUGCUUUGGGUGGAAUACUUCUGGACAUCCAUAGUUGCGACUGCGAUGAAUUCACCAUUCAUCCAGCAAAUGGUCUUCUUAUACAAGCGUUGGCUAUUUUCUGUGGUAACACAGAUAGGGUGCAGUCAAUAUUUGCCACCGGGGAUUACACCGUCGAACCUUACACUGACAUGUUUGAUUGUUGGGUAUCCAAGCUUGAGGAAGACGCGGAAUGGAUAUGCCAAGGUGAAAAGAGUCGAAAGUUCAUAUUCCUAUUGAAUAACACAUAUAAUGUUUGGCAAAUGAUGCUCUGUCCUGGGGCAUCCUUUUCAAAUGUAGAAUUGGUGAGUAGGCUCAUUUCCAUGAUCCAUCAAUACAGGAGGAGCUACUUUGAAGAGUGUUGGGUUCCUCUGAACAACCCACGCCAUCUGGAUAUGUUUACGGCCGACUUUCUUAUUAUCUGUAAUUGCCAGAUGACAUGGAAGGUUACAUCGGAGCUCAAGUAUGAAUUGCGGCAGGAGAUUGUGGGUUUGAUUAUUCCACUGUAUGAAGCUUCCUUAUUUGCACUUGAGGAAAAUCGAAGCCAACUUUCAAAGAUCCUUUGGUGGUUAAAACGAGUAAUGGCGGGAAAGAAGAAACAAAAGAAGUAUACUGUGGAGGAAUUGGAAAGGGUGAUAAGAGAGUUGUUCGAAGGAUGA